UUUUUUAAUUGAAAACUAGAAUGAAUGGUUAGACAAAAUAUAUACUGUCUUAAUAGAAUAAAUUGAAUUUUAUUUUUUAGUUAAAAAGCUAAAAUAUAUUUAAAGGACGAGAAGACCCUAUAGAGUUUUAUAAGUUUUUAUUUAUUAUUUUUUAUUAAUUUUAGAUUUUUAUUUUUAAAUAAAAUUUUAUUUAAUUGGGGUGAUUGUAAAAAUUAAUUAUCUUUUAUAUAUUUAUAUUAAUAACAUUAAUUUAUGAAUUUUAUUUUGAUCCAUUUAUAAUGAUUAAUAGAAAAAGUUACCUUAGGGAUAACAGCGUAAUAUUUUUUUAGAGUUCUUAUCGUCAAAAAAGAUUGC
rnacentral:rRNA from 1 species